GAUGAACGCUGGCGGCGUGCCUAAUACAUGCAAGCCGAGCGAACAGACGAGGAGCUUGCUCCUCUGACGUUAGCGGCGGACGGGUGAGUAACACGUGGAUAACCUACCUAUAAGACUGGGAUAACUUCGGGAAACCGGAGCUAAUACCGGAUAAUAUAUUGAACCGCAUGGUUCAAUAGUGAAAGACGGUUUUGCUGUCACUUAUAGAUGGAUCCGCGCCGCAUUAGCUAGUUGGUAAGGUAACGGCUUACCAAGGCAACGAUGCGUAGCCGACCUGAGAGGGUGAUCGGCCACACUGGAACUGAGACACGGUCCAGACUCCUACGGGAGGCAGCAGUAGGGAAUCUUCCGCAAUGGGCGAAAGCCUGACGGAGCAACGCCGCGUGAGUGAUGAAGGUCUUCGGAUCGUAAAACCCUGUUAUUAGGGAAGAACAAAUGUGUAAGUAACUAUGCACGUCUUGACGGUACCUAAUCAGAAAGCCACGGCUAACUACGUG
rnacentral:rRNA from 1 species